AUUAAAUUAAGGGCGUAUGGAGGAUGCCUUGGCACAUAAAGGCGAUGAAGGUCGUGGCGUGCCUGCGAUAAGCUUCGGGGAGCCGGCUAGCGGGCUUUGAUCCGGAGAUUGCCGAAUGGGGAAACCCAAUCAAGUAAACCUUGAUUACUCGGUCGUGUAACAACGAUCGGGAGUAUACCUGGCGAAGUGAAACAUCUCAGUAGCCAGAGGAAAAGAAACCGAAAGGAUUCCGUGUGUAGCGGCGAGCGAAAGCGGAAUAGCCUAAACUUGCGUUUCACGAAAGUGGAGCAUGAGGGUUAUAAGGGCAGAACACUGAAAACUUGAGGAAACGAAUUCGUUCCUGAAGUUUUCUAAAGAGUUACAAAUUGGAUUGUUAGCAGAACGGCCCUGGAACGGCCGACCAAAGGAGGUGAUAGUCCUGUAUGCGAAAACAAAUCCAACUCUUGUUUUGUUUCUUGAGUAGCUCGGGAUAAGAAUGUCCUGAGUGAAUUUGCCCAUACUACUGGGUAAGGCUAAAUACUUUAUGUGACCGAUAGUGAACCAGUACCGUGAGGGAAAGGUGAAAAGCACCCCGGUGAGGGGAGUGAAAUAGUAACUGAAACCAUAUGCCUACAAAGAGCCGAAGCCUGCCGUCGCAAGACGUUGGGUAACGGUGUGCCUAUUGAAGAAUGACCCAGCGAGUUUAUCUAAACGGCCCAAGUAAGCCCUUUUUGGGUGUACUUAUAGGGAAACCGAGUGUUAAAAGCGCGUCUAGAACUAAAUAAUUGGCGGCGAAGUUUUCUUCGUAGCUAAUUAUUUUAGUUCUUAUGUCGUUUGGAUAAGACCCGAAGCCAGAGCGAGCUAACCAUGACCAGGGUGAAAGUCACCGAAAGGUGAGUGGAGGCCCGAACCAGUUGGUCGCUCAAUGCCAUUGGAUGAGUUGUGGUUAGAAGUGAUAAGCUUAUCGAGCCUGGUAAUAGCUGGUUCUCUCCGAAAUGCGUUUUGGCGCAGCGCUAUAUAGUAAUAGAGGGGGUAGAGCACUGAGUGGUUUGCCGUGCCCUUUUGGGUAGGUUUACCAAACAAACUCCGAAUACCUCUAUGUAAUGUAUAGCAGUGAGACCGUGGGGGCAAAGCUUCACGGUCGCGAGGGAAAGAGCCCAGAUCACCAAUUAAGGUCCCUAAAUUUAUGCUAAGUGUGAAAGGAAGUAUUUUGCCAUAGACAGGUAGGAGGUUGGCUUAGAAGCAGCCAUCCUUUAAAGAGUGCGUAAUAGCUCACUACUCGAUGGCAAGAUGCGCCGAAGAUGUAACGGGGCUAAGCAUAGUACCGAAAUUGUGAACUUUUCGCGAUUCGUCGCGGGGAGUGGUAGGAGAGCAUUUCCAACUGCUGUGAAGGCCAACUGUGAAGUUGACUGGAGCGUUGGGAAGGGAGAAUGCUGGGAUGAGUAACCGCAAUUGUGAUGAAAACUCACAACGCCGCAAGUCUGAGGUUUCCUCCGCGAUGACAAUCAUCGGAGGGUUAGGCGAUCCUAAGGAUAACCGUGCUUUUGGGCACGGGAAGCCGAUGGACAGCCGGUUAAUAUUCCGGCCCCGCUUUUAAAGUUGAUGGGAUGACGGGUGAAAUAAAACUGAGCGCAUUAUUGGAUUUGACGUUUUUCGUUUGUAGAAUUCGGACCAGGCAAAUCCGGUUCGGGCCGCAAGGCAAAUUCAAAGACGUAAUAAAUCAUCGCAAGGUGAAAUUCAGUUGAAGAGUGUUCCAAGAAAAGUCUCUAAAAACAUUUUAAAAGCGAUCGUACCGCAAAACCGACACAGGUGGACUGGUGCAAGUGCACCAAGGCGAACGGGUGAUUAUUGGCUAAGGAACUCGGCAAAAAAGCGGCCGUAAGUUCGCAAUAAGGCCUGCCCAACGUAAGUUGGGCUGCAACAAAAGAACCCCUGGCGACUGUUUAUCAAAAACACAACUCCGUGCUAAGCCGAAAGGCGAUGUAUACGGGGUGACGCUUGUCCGGUGCCGGAACGUUAACGGUUGAAGUGGUGGCGCAAGUCACUGCGGAAGCCCGAAGCGCCGGUGAACGACGGCAGUAACUAUAAACACGACAGUUGUAGUUAUAAAAUCUUCCUCCUUCGCUCUAAGAAGAGCUUCGGAGGACCCUGCGUAGCUUUUUAUGCGAAGCAGGGGACUAUAUGCUGGAAACUCUGUUGAAUCUGACACUACGAAUGGUAUAAUUAAACCAUACGUAAUAAUGUGCUCAGUGCAGACAAUCAGCAGGAAAGACUUGAGAAAAUCCCAGUCUCAACAGCUUGCUAUUUUGCAGGAUUUAUUGAUGGCGAAGGGAGUUUCAAUGUCGCUCUAAUUCCAAGAAAAGAGUAUCGGUUUGGCUGGAAGAUCUAUUUGACUUUUAAUGUAGCUCAAAAAGAUCCAACAACUCUAAAAUUGAUACAAAAAUAUUUUGGAACAGGCAGACUUGAAGAAAGAAAAGACGGAGUCUGGAAUUAUUCAGUAAAUGAUUUCAAAUCAUUGAAGAAUAUUGUGAUUCCGUUCUUCGAAAAAUAUCCAUUCCUAUCUGAGCUAAAGAAGAAAAACUUUGCUAUUUUUAAAGAAAUAGUAGAGGUAAUUGGAAGAGACGGCCAUUUUACCAAAGAUGGCUUAGAAGAAAUCAUUAUUCUUCGAGAAAAGCUUAAUGAAGGAAAAGGAAGAAAGAGAAAAUAUUCAUUUUCUGAUUACAAAAAAUCUCAAGAAUCCUCAGAGACUAUACGUCAGACGCCGAUAGAAAUAUCGGUAAAGAUAUAGUCCGAUCUCAUAGGCGACUAUGAGGCUGUCCGAUAUUUAAUAUCGAGACUAAUAAAAAGAAUGAACUGUCUAAAAGUAGCAAAAUACCUUGUGGGGUAAGUUCCCACGCGCAUGAAUAGCGCAACGACUGGGGGACUGUCUCAGCCAAUAGCCCGGUGAAAAUGCAAUGUCAGUAAAGAUGCUGACUACCCGCACCAAGACGGAAAGACCCCGGAAGCUUUACUGUAGCUUGGUAUUGGUCUACGAGUUGUUAUACGUAGCGUAGUGAGUAGGAUUUGAAGCAUCUCUCUCGGGAGGUGUGGAUCCGCCAAUGAAACACUCAUUUUAACGAUUUGUAGCUCUAACCGGCCCCGCCCUCUAAGCUUAUGGCAUGAGGGAUGGUAAAGUUUUCCAAGAUAAGAUUGGAGUUUUAUCGUUCCACAAAUUUGCCACAGGCCUAGAGGGCUGGGUCGAGACAGUGCCUGGCGGGCAGUUUAAGUGGGGCACUUGCCUCCUAAAAAGUAAUGGAGGCGUACAUCAAGGUCGGCUAGCUGCGGAUGGAAAUCGCAGCGAUAGCGCAAACGCAAAAGCCGGCUUAACUGCAAGACGGAUGUGUCGCGCAGAUGCGAAAGCAUGUGUUAGUGAACCGACUCUACAAAAGAAAUUGAGAAAUCCGAUCGGAUUCUCAAUUUCUUCGCUCGUAGGAGCGGAGAAGAUAAUCAGCUAAAAGCUACUCCGGGGAUAACAGGCUGGUACUGCCCGAGCGUCCAUAGCGACGGCAGUGUUCGGCACCUCGAUGUCGGCUCGGCUUAUCCUGGGGGUGAAGAAGCUCCCAAGGGUUUGGCUGUUCGCCAAUUAAAAAGCUACGCGAGCUGGGUUCAAACCGUCAAAAUUGAACUCGAGGAAAGGGAACCAUGUUCCCAAACACACGGCGGCUUGUCGCCGAAAGGCGACUCGAAUAAAUCGACUCAUAUCGGAGAAAUCCUAAUCUCGCUGUCGCGGGAUCCCGCACCUACAUGGGUGAGGGAAUAUUUCCUAACCUGGAUUAUUAGGACAAUUCCGAGGGAAGUCUUCCGUUCAAAUUUUUGGAAAAUAAAAGAGGACCUUAUUGGUCCUCGUGGAUGGGGCUAUCCUUCUUUUUCUACUAGGCUGGAUAGGACGCUCAUUGCAAGAGCACCAACAAAGAAUUCACCAAGCAUUGCAACGCCUACAGUCCAUGCAUCAAGUGGUACAGAAUUGCUGACAGCACCUAUUACGCCUAGCAUUAUCAAGCUAAAUGCGAAUAAUACCUUAAGCAAUCUCAUUAGCUACUCCUUGUCUUGACGGCUUAAGACUACCAGGCGAUUGUAGUAUAAAUAGUAUAAUUGUCAAUAGAAAAUAUUGAUUCCAAAAAUUUGAACGGAAUGACCCCGUAGAGACUUAUCCUUCGAAGCCUUAUGCAAAGAAGGAAGGCGUUAUGAUAUAUCAUAACGCAACACGUCGUUCAGCGCAUUUAAGAAAAUGCUAAAUGUAAAAUGAAAAUAUCAAAAUGAAAAAUAAUUUUUAUUUUUGAUUUUUAAAUUUUGAUUUAAGCAAUUUAUUCCAUAAAUUGCGUUGGUGGUAUAGUCCAAGCUCUUAGUAAUAAGAGAAUAAUUGCUUCUAGAUUCUAAAUUCUAGUUUCUAGAUUCUAAUUUAUUAGCGUGAGACAGGUUGGUCCAUAUCUGGUGCGGGCGUUGAUACUUGAGGAGGGUUGUCCUUAGUACGAGAGGACCGGGAUGAACGAACCUCUGGUCUACGAGCUGUUCUGCCAAGAGCAAUGCUCGGUAGCUAUGUUCGGUUCUGAUAAGCGCUGAAAGCAUAUAAGCGCGAAGCAGGCUCCAAGAUUAGGUAUCAAGAUUCGUCGUAGAUUACGACGUUGAUAGGAUUCAGAUGUAAGUGCAGUAAUGCAUUAAGUCAAGAAUUACUAAUUAAUC
rnacentral:rRNA from 2 species